AUACGGAGGGGGUUAGCGUUGUUCGGAAUUACUGGGCGCAAAGCGCACGUAGGCGGACUGGAAAGUUGGGGGUGAAAUCCCGGGGCUCAACCCCGGAACUGCCUCCAAAACUUCCAAUCUAGAGAUCGAGAGAGGUGAGUGGAAUUCCAAGUGUAGAGGUGAAAUUCGUAGAUAUUUGGAGGAACACCAGUGGCGAAGGCGGCUCACUGGCUCGAUACUGACGCUGAGGUGCGAAAGCGUGGGGAGCAAACAGGAUUAGAUACCCUAGUAGUCC
rnacentral:rRNA from 1 species